rnacentral:rRNA from 1 species
AAUGAACGUUGGCGGCAUGGAUUAGGCAUGCAAGUCGAGCGCAAUACUUUAGUUUGAAGCUUCGGUGGAUUUCUAAAGUGGAAAGCGGCGUAAGGGAGAGUAACGCGUAGUUAUCUGCCCCAAGGUCCGGAAUAGCUGUGGGAAACUGCAGGUAAUGCCGGAUAACAUCCCCGGAUCAAAGGUGUGAUUCCGCCUUGGGAGGAGACUGCGUCGUACUAGCUUGUUGGUAGGGUAAUGGCCUACCAAGGCUACGAUGCGUAGCGGGCGUGAGAGCGUGGCCCGUCUCACUGGGACUGAGACACUGCCCAGACACCUACGGGUGGCUGCAGUCGAGAAUCUUCGGCAAUGGGCGCAAGCCUGACCGAGCGAUGCCGCGUGCGGGAUGAAGGCCUUCGGGUUGUAAACCGCUGUCAGUUGGGAGGAAAUCACAAAGGGCUAUCCUUUUGUGUUGACCUAUCUUCAGAGGAAGUCCGGGCUAAGUUCGUGC